CGGCGGACGGGUGAGUAACGCGUAGGCAACCUGCCCUUAGCAGAGGGAUAGCCAUUGGAAACGAUGAUUAAAACCUCAUAAAGCCGUAGGAGCACAUGCUCCAUCGGCCAAAGAUUUAUCGGCUAAGGAUGGGCCUGCGUCUGAUUAACCUAGUUGGUGAGGUAACGGCUCACCCAAGGUGACGAUCAGUAGCCGACCUGAGAGGGUGAUCGGCCACAUUGGAACUGAGACACGGUCCAAACUUCUACGGAAGGCAGCAGUAAGGAAUCUUGCACAAUGGGGGAAACCCUGAUGCAGCAACGCCGCGUGAACGAUGAAGGCCUUCGGGUUGUAAAGUUCUGAUCUUGGGGAAGAAGAAAGUGACGGUACCCAAGGAGAAAGCCCCGGCUAAAUACGUGCCAGCCGCCGC
rnacentral:rRNA from 1 species